GUCUGGGGUUGGUCACGGUCAGGUCGUCUCCCACAAUCUGGAUGCCCACUGAUGCAGUGAACUGGCUCCAGUGUUCCCAGUCAUCCUGGUCAAAGGGGUCCUCAAUGGACUGCACUGGAUGGGCGAGGCAGGGAUUUCAUUUUCGUCGUGCGUGAAAUUCACCUGCACUUGAAAGCCCCCGAAGAGCCAUCGCCGUUCCUCUUUGUAUGUACCUCUUAACCCACCGAAUCAGCGACCGAGAUCAAGGGGCAGGAAUAACGCGGGCGACCAGCCUAUGAGACGCCGCGGUGAUAAUUCAACUAGCCAAUAAGCCGGUAGAGUGAAACUCGGUCACCUUGACCAUGAAAGAAGCCAUUUCAACCUUUCAGGUGUCUAAGGACAGCGCUGUUUGUUGUUUUUGUAAUAUAGCAUCUAGUUUGUGUAAAAUGAUUGUCUAAUAAAUCAUUUUUCGUUCUUGGUUGCGUCCGAUUGGCGGCUUCU